AGACCAUGAUGUGGACACUUCCUCUACAAGUAUUUAAACCUCUCACAAGCUUUAUACAAAGAUUCACCAUCAAAUUGAACAAAAUUGAUAAUAUCAUUUCCAAGUUU